UUGGAGGGCAAGUCUGGUGCCAGCAGCCGCGGUAAUUCCAGCUCCAAUAGCGUAUAUUAAAGUUGUUGCAGUUAAAAAGCUCGUAGUUGAAUUUCGGGAUCAAUUUAUCGGUCGUGCCUACGGUAUGAACUGGUACAAUUGGUUUCUCCCUUCUGACGAAGCAUGAUGUCAUUAAUUUGGUGUCGUGGGGAAUCAGGACUGUUACUUUGAAAAAAUUAGAGUGUUUAAAGCAAGCAUUAGCUUGAAUACAUUAGCAUGGAAUAAUGAAAUAGGACGUUUGAUCCUAUUUCGUUGGUUUCUAGGAUCGACGUAAUGAUUAAUAGGGAUAGUUGGGGGCAUUAGUAUUCAAUUGUCAGAGGUGAAAUUCUUGGAUUUAUUGAAGACUAACUACUGCGAAAGUAUUUGCCAAGGAUGUUUUCAUUAAUCAAGAACGAAAGUUAGGGGAUCGAAGACGAUCAGAUACCGUCGUAGUCUUAACCAUAAACUAUGCCGACUAGGGAUCGGAUGAUGUUAAUUUUUUAAUGACUCAUUCGGCGCCUUACGGGAAAC
rnacentral:rRNA from 1 species